UACGGAGGGUGCGAGCGUUGUCCGGAAUCACUGGGCGUAAAGGGCGCGUAGGCGGCAGGCCAAGCGUGCGGUGAAAGUCCGGGGCUCAACCCCGGAUCUGCCGUGCGGACUGGUUUGCUAGAGCACUGUAGAGGCGAGUGGAACUGCGAGUGUAGAGGUGAAAUUCGUAGAUAUUCGCAAGAACACCAGUGGCGAAGGCGGCUCACUGGCCCGAUACUGACGCUGAGGCACGAAAGCGUGGGGAGCAAACAGG
rnacentral:rRNA from 1 species